rnacentral:lncRNA from 8 species
ACAAUUAUCAUCAGAUAAACUCAGACUUGUCCAAUGUGGAAUUUAGAGCAUUUUUCGGGGAGAAAAAAGAGGUCUCCACAAAUCUGACUGGAUUCCAGGCAGCCGAGACCCCCUCGAAGUGGGAAUGAAAAGUGUAACCUCAGCCUCCCAGCUGUACGUCUCAAUCCAUAAUCCUUCCCAAAAAACCUCACCAGAGAGCCGCCCCGGCCGUCACUCCCAUGGCGUUCUCUGCCGGUGCCUGCUCAGAUUUAUGGGGCAGUCGGGUGUCAAACUCUCGACCUGAAAGGGAUUUGGGCUUUCUUAGUGGUUAGGGAGGUGGUCAGGGGAGUAAUGGUGGACUCUCUCUAAGCACCUAAUACCCAGUACUGGGCCUCUAGUCUGGCACACCCACCUUAUCCUGGUCUCAUACACCUCGGACACUCUGGACAUUACCGACAACGGCCCGGUCUGGCUCCGAUAGCCGCAGUGUGGAUGGCAGCAACACCAAGUUGGAGUCCCCUUACCGACGCCCACACAUCCACAUGCCACGCUCCGCCGUGCAGACACCCAGGCACAGGACGAGCCAACGGAACAUCUGACCAUGAAGUUUGCCAGGCUGUGGAUUCUCCAGCCCUGCAAUCGCAGAAAAUCAUUC